GCGGGUGUGGCGGAAUUGGCAGACGCGCUAGAUUCAGGUUCUAGUGGGGGCAACUUCGUGUAGGUUCAAGUCCUAUCACCCGCACCA
rnacentral:tRNA from 1 species